CCUACGGGAGGCUGCAGUCGAGAAUAUUUCGCAAUGGGCGCAAGCCUGACGAAGCGACGCCGUGUGAGUGAAGAAGGCCUUCGGGUCGUAAAGCUCUUUCGCCUAGGAACAAGAGAAAUCGGAAAAUAUCCGAUGUAUUUGAGCGUACUAGGUAAAGAAGCACCGGCUAACUCCGUGCCAGCAGCUGCGGUAAUACGGAGGGUGCAAGCAUUAAUCGGAUUUAUUGGGCGUAAAGGGGGCGUAGGCGGGAAUGUAAGCAAGACGUGAAAUCCCGGGGCUCAACCCCGGAACUGCAUUUUGAACUGCAUUUCUAAGAGGAUAGUCGGAGAAAACGGAAUACCACAUGUAGCGGUGAAAUGCGUAGAUAUGUGGUAGAACACCGGUGGCGAAGGCGGUUUUCUAGAUUAUUCCUGACGCUGAGGCCCGAAAGCUAGGGGAGC
rnacentral:rRNA from 1 species